rnacentral:rRNA from 1 species
GAUGAACGCUAGCUACAGGCUUAACACAUGCAAGUCGAGGGGUAACGAGAGGAAAGCUUGCUUUCCUUGUCGACGACCGGCGCACGGGUGAGUAACGCGUAUCCAACCUGCCCCCAACUAAGGAAUAACCUUGCGAAGGUAAGACUAAUACCUUAUACUUUCCUCAGAUGACAUCUGACGAGGAAUAAAGAUUUUUCGGUUUUGGAUGGGGAUGCGUCUGAUUAGCUUGUUGGCGGGGUAACGGCCCACCAAGGCAACGAUCAGUAGGGGUUCUGAGAGGAAGGUCCCCCACAUUGGAACUGAGACACGGUCCAAACUCCUACGGGAGGCAGCAGUGAGGAAUAUUGGUCAAUGGGCGGAAGCCUGAACCAGCCAAGUAGCGUGCAGGAUGACGGCCCUAUGGGUUGUAAACUGCUUUUAUACAGGAAUAAAGUUAGCCACGUGUGGUUAUUUGUAGGUACUGUAUGAAUAAGGACCGGCUAAUUCCGUGCCAGCAGCCGCAGUAA